AUAUAGUACCGAAAGGGGCAAACCCGGUGAACUGAAACAUCUAAGUAACCGGAGGAAGAGAAAAUAAUAAUGAUUUCGUUAGUAGUGGCGAGCGAACGCGAAAGAGCCCAAACCGAUUUUGUUACGGCAAAGUCGGGGUUGUAGGACUGAGAUAUCGAGAAUUGAUUGAAUUAGAAUAACCUGGAAAGGUUGACCAAAGAGGGUGAUAGUCCCGUAUAAGUAAGAGAUAUGAUUGUAUCAGUAUCCUGAGUAGGGCGGGGCACGAGGAACCC
rnacentral:rRNA from 1 species